rnacentral:tRNA from 1 species
UGUCAAGGGAUGGGAAUCGAACCCACGACCUUCCGCUUACCGGGCAGAUGCCAUGACCACUAGGCGCCAUGAC